rnacentral:lncRNA from 1 species
UUUUUUUUUUUUUUUUUUUUUUUUUUUGCUUUUUGGGGCUGCACCUGCAGCAUAUGGAGUUUCCCAGACUAGGAGUGGAAUCGGAACUACAGCUGCUGGCCACAGCCACAGCCACAGCCACAGCCACCCACAACCUCAAGGUUCCUAGCCGGAUUCAUUUCUGCUGCACCACAAUGGGAACUCCAGAGAAAAAUAAAUUUUAAUACAACAUUAUGGUAUCGUAGAAAAGAAAUGAGUUAUCAGGGUAUGAAAUUCCUUAACUAAUAGGAAACCACAUAAUUACCAGUAAGUAGAAUAGCAGGGCAAUUCAAAUUUUGUACAUUAUACACAUCUGACGGAAAAGGCUAAAAUCACGUGUCUUUCUUCAACAUUUCAAGUGGGACAUUGGCUAACUGGCCUAACACCUCAUUCCUAUUCUACCAGUAAAAUGUUUAUCUGAAAAAAACAAUAUCUAGAAGAAUCCAAUAGUUACUAAUCAUAGUCAUUAAAAUGUUCAUUAGAGAACUGCAGUAAAAUUAUUUUCCAAGUAUGCAUGGAAUACCAGAAAUACCAAAUAACUAUUAUUUUCAUGACUAUUUGAUUUAUAGCCAGUGAAAUAACACAAUACUAAGAAAAUACAACUCCAAAUCAUAAUGCAAUUAUUUAUAUGUCAAUAAUUAGCCCAGUUUCUUAUAGUACAGCAGGACUCAAUAAAUAGAUAUUUUUAAAAGGGAAGAAAAUAAUCUUCCUCCAAAUUACACACUUCUACCUGCCAAGUUUGACUUAAUAUAGACGUAUAAAACCAAAGAUGCCACUUCAGUUUUUACUUUUUUUCUCUCUCCUCAAACAAACAAUUUUAGACCUUCUGCAAAGAGCAUGCCUUUUUUUUUUUUUAAUCAAGAGCAUUUCUUUUUGAUGAAACCUGAUAAACAUUCUAUGUGAGGGAUUCCCCAGGCAAAACUCUGUGGGAAGUAAAAUACCUGUAGCCUAAGUACAGAGAUUCUUGUGAAUCAAAUAACCUUAUCUAAAAUUCAAGUGUUCAAGGAAUAAUGUACACCUAAAGAUAUCCAUAGGAAGAGCCAUACAGUUUUAUUAUUUCUCCUAUAACAAAAUUUAGGAUAUAUUUAAAACAUAAUAAAGUUAUACUAUUAUCUAUACAACAGAGAUUUAGAAUUUAUAACUGUUCCCUCUAAUUCUAAGCAAGCUACUUUUGAGUCUUCCAUCACCAUUCUCACAACUCUUUCAAACAUGGAUUCUCUAACACUAAUAGAUCCCUAACUUUUCCUUUAGACUUACCUACUUCCUCCUAAUGGUCACAAAGAGGGAGUCAAGGUAAAGUGAGGAGGAAGAUGUUUGAAUGAAUCUGCCACUUCCAUAGCUGAACAAGUAAGUCGGGGUACUGCAUUUGAACACUUAGGGCUUGUAUCAGUUAAAAUAGUUUGGCUGUAAAUGGCUUGAAAUACAAGGCAUUUUACGACUAGGAACCAUGAGGUGGCGGGCUCAAUCCGUGGCCUCGCUCAGUGGGUUAAGGAUCUGGCGUUGCUAUAAGCUGUGGUGUAGGGAAACGCUGAUUUCUUAAUCUACUGAGCGAGACCAGGGAUUGAACCUGCGUGCUCAUGGAUACCAGUCAGAUUCGUUUCCACUGAGCCACGACGGGAAGGAAAUUGCAUGACAAUCUUAAAGCCUGUCAAACUUCCCCUGUCACUGACCAGAAUUCUACCCCAUUUUCAUAACUGAAUCAAGUACUGAGAUGGAAAAUGAAAUGAUAACUGGUUUACACUAGUCAUGAUUCCCCAUGUCCCCCCACAGGGACGGGGGGCAACUCAACCAAAUUUUACUUGAAAUACCCACUAGUAGUUGCUACCCCAUGUCUUUGGAGUCAGGAAAAUUUGACUUAAAUCCCCACUUAUAGCUUAUGAUUUUUUUUUUUUUUAAUGAGAGUCGCAAUGUUUAUUUAAGAUUCUCUCUCUCUUUUCUUUUUUUUUUUUUUUUUUUUUGCCACACUUUCAGCAUGGGCCAGGGAUUGAAUCUGUGCCACAGCAGGAAACUGAGCCACAACAGUGUAAACACAGGAGCCUUAACACACUAGACCAUCGGAGAACUCCCAUAUCUUAUGAACUUUUAACUUUACGCAACCACUUAAUCUCUGAGUAUCAACUUUUUUGAGAGAGAUAUAGAUGCAUACAUAGGGUAUAGAUACCAAUACAGAUAUGACAAAUAUUUUUAAAUGAGUCUGUAUUGUCAGAAAUAUAAGGAUAAUUAAAAUACCUAACACAGAGCCUGAUACAGUGUGGAAUUUAAUAAAUUUUAUUUUAAUGUGUUUUCUUUAAUACGUACGCCCUCCUCAUUUCCUUCCUUCCUGCAACCAGAGCCCGAUAACUUCUCAAGGAGUGCAGUCAAAUUUGAUUAUCUCUCUAAAAUUUUCAAGUCUAAAAAUCUUUUACUUGAUAUUUUAAUAUCUCGUUCUACGUAUUCCACCAUGUCUUGACUAUCAGGGUUGCCAAAAUACUAGUUUAUUUGAAUAGCAGAUCAUGUAC